GAUGAACGCUAGCGACAGGCUUAACACAUGCAAGUCGAGGGGCAGCGGGGCUGAAAGCUUGCUUUCAGCUGCCGGCGACCGGCGCACGGGUGAGUAACACGUAUGCAACCUGGCCGUGACAGAUGGAUAACCGGGAGAAAUUCCGCCUAAUACAGCAUAACACCACUGGAUGACAUCCUCCGGUGGUCAAAGGAGGCGACUCCGGUCACGGAUGGGCAUGCGGCGCAUUAGGUAGUUGGUGAGGCAACGGCUCACCAAGCCGACGAUGCGUAGGGGUUCUGAGAGGAAGGUCCCCCACAUUGGAACUGAGACACGGUCCAAACUCCUACGGGAGGCAGCAGUGAGGAAUAUUGGUCAAUGGCCGGAAGGCUGAACCAGCCAAGUCGCGUGAGGGAAUAAGGCCCUACGGGGUGUAAACCUCUUUUGUCCGGGAGCAAGGACAUCCACGUGUGGAUGUUCGGAGAGUACCGGAAGAAAAAGCAUCGGCUAACUCCGUG
rnacentral:rRNA from 1 species